rnacentral:rRNA from 1 species
UACACUCCUCCGGGAGGCAGCAGUGGGGAAUUUUGGACAAUGGGCGAAAGCCUGAUCCAGCAAUGCCGCGUGAGUGAAGAAGGCCUUCGGGUUGUAAAGCUCUUUUGUCAGGGAAGAAACGGUGAAAGCUAAUAUCUUUUGCUAAUGACGGUACCUGAAGAAUAAGCACCGGCUAACUACGUGCCAGCAGCCGCGGUAAUACGUAGGGUGCAAGCGUUAAUCGGAAUUACUGGGCGUAAAGCGUGCGCAGGCGGUUUUGUAAGUCUGCUGUGAAAUCCCCGGGCUCAACCUGGGAGUUGCAUUGGAGACUGCAAGGCUAGAAUCUGGCAGAGGGGGGUAGAAUUCCACGUGUAGCAGUGAAAUGCGUAGAUAUGUGGAGGAACACCGAUGGCGAAGGCAGCCCCCUGGGUCAAGAUUGACGCUCAUGCACGAAAGCGUGGGGAGCAAACAGGAUUAGAUACCCUUGUAGUCCCAUG